UUCCUCCGGUUCAAGAGGCGGCCAUACUACCGGUAGAGAUUUCCAUUCACCAUGCCCACCCAUCCGCGCCAGUGCCCCUUCUCCACCAGAACGUCCAAGCCUCACUAUUGGUGUGCUGCAGCAGCUCCUCGCAGCGCAAUGCAGCGGCACGGAGAGGAUAGGGCUGGACAGUCUUGCGAAGAGGGCAGGGCGGCCGUCAUCCUGUUGAUGCCCCCAUCUCGGUGCCCUAUCCAUCCCGGCGGCGGAUGAUUCACGCCCCCAUGCUUCCCCACAAGGAGGCUCUGAUAUCUAAUGCAAAUUGUUUUACCGACCAUUGGUUUGGGCACCAUAUGUUUGUUAAAAUGCUUACAUGUGUUGACCGCUUGUGCAGUCUUGACCUUAGAUCGGAACAUGGAGGCUCUGAAAAUAGCAUAGAUGGGUCAUCACCAAUCAGGUAGAGUUAGUUGCUAGAUGCCUAGCCGCAAGCAACCCUCACCCUCCACAAAACAUUAGGCGGUACAUUGUCUUUCCUCUCUUUUAGCUAGCUGCUCUCAGUUCACUGGAAUAACUGAACAUGCACUCUCUCUGAUGUCCUUGCUAUGCUUCAGUUGGUGGGGACUAAGAAUAUGGCAGAGCAUUCAUGAAUAGAGAAGAGAGGAAAUGUUGUUGGAUGCUACUCAUCAUCUUGGUUCAUGAAUAUCACCAGAGCGUUCAUGAAUAUAAGGACGGAUUUAGAGUUCUUAAAUUGUGGUUCUACCUGGCACUAUCUCGGCCACUUCUUCUUAGGAACAGUAUGGACAUUUUCAGUUUGCCUUAACUCUGAUGAUUUUGAGAUGACCACUACUGUUUUUUGUGAGCAGGUUGAGUACAGUUUGAGGAAAUUUUGUUUCCAUGACACAUUUUGUACAUAAUGCCAACAGCUGCAGCCUCUCUAAAUGAACUGCAAACAAUAAUGCUUGCUUUAGCAUCAGUCAGUAAGGUGCAAAUAUAAGCAGAUGAAUGAAUAAACAAUUAGGACAAUACUAUUUUGUGUCUUGUCAACUGUGGAUGUCACACAGCUCCCUACGAUUCAUUUGGAAGUUCAGUAAUAAAACAAUGCCUUCAGGAUCUCAUGAAUCUAUAGUUUUGUGUUUAUUUCUCUGUUUAUUACAAUAGCAAGAUAUACAAGGUCUGAAGGGCCCAUAGUCCCAUAUGAAAUGCUGGUCUGUUGAUUCUGAAGGUGACAGUCUAAGAACGCAUUGAGCAUUUACAUGAAGCUGUUGGGUUCAGACUUAAGUAACUGCGUGAACUUGCCAUUGCUAAGUCCAUGGUGAGGCUGGGAGACAUGUUGGGAGAGACCACCUCUUGUAGUUCACCUGAUUAUGAGAUAUGCAGGUGAAAGAGUUUCCAUCAAUUUGGCCCUUUUGGUUGUAAGUUGUAACGGCUGUUUUAAGCUGAGUCCUUACAAGUGAAGGGAAUAUUCUGACUUAUCAUGGCAAAGUAGAGCUACAGAACCACAAUCAAAAUCUGAGAAAAAUCAGAUCGGUUGAUCAACUUGCUUGGUAUUUGUCGCAUUCCAAAAGUGUUACCAGAUGUGACAGGUGUACUAGGUGAUCAGCAAAGUUGGGGCAAGCCUUCUCCGCGACAAUAAACCUAGGUCUCAAAUGAUAGUGAGUGUUACUCCUAUCUUGCUUGAGCUCAAUCUCCUUAUCUCCUUUGGAACAAUAUUACCAUAAGACGAUAGAAGCGUUUGCUUCAGCAUGUUUGUGUGGCUGAAGUUUUAGGAAAUGCUUCUAAGAGGGGAUUUUUUAGUAUCUAAAGGAACUAUAUUGAGAUCUGAAAAACAAGGCCGAUAAAUUCUGGUAUCAGCAAGAAAUAUAAACUAUUUUAAUUCUCUAA